GGGGGCGUCCCGGCUUCGACGGGAUGUUCGAUGCGCUGGUUGCAUGUGGAGGUUGAUCGGCUGGCCUCCUAAAAAAGCCGUUCAAACAAACAAAUGCAGACUCUAACGAGCUCGCACUGGCUGCUUAAUUGACGGCCACGUCAGAACCCCGACGCCUUCUGAGGGGGAUGGCGACACUUAGAAGGCUGGACCAAAAGCCGGGGCACCGGGCUUGAGUCGAGAUCCAACAGGUUCCUAGGAAAGACAACGCCGCAAGCGGGCCCAGCCUCUCCAAAACUCCAGACCGCCUGCUAAACAUGUAGAUACCAUCGCUGAAGGCAUCUCGGACAGGGGUUCGACUCCCCUCGCCUCCACCA
rnacentral:tmRNA from 1 species